UAUUCCUACGGGACGCAGCAGUGGGGAAUAUUGCACAAUGGGGGAAACCCUGAUGCAGCAACGCCGCGUGAGUGAGGAAGUAUUUCGGUAUGUAAAGCUCUAUCAGCAGGGAAUAGAAAAGAGGGUACCUGAAAAAGAAGCCCCGGCUAACUACGUGCCAGCAGCCGCGGUAAUACGUAGGGGGCAAGCGUUAUCCGGAUUUACUGGGUGUAAAGGGAGCGCAGACGGCGAUGCAAGCCAGGAGUGAAAGCCCGGGGCCCAACCCCGGGACUGCUCUUGGAACUGCGUGGCUAGAG
rnacentral:rRNA from 1 species